rnacentral:rRNA from 1 species
GAUGAACGCUGGCGGCGUGCUUAACACAUGCAAGUCGAACGAGAAGUGGAGACGGAAACCUUCGGGCGGAAGACUUUAUUUCGAGUGGCGGACGGGUGAGUAACGCGUGGGUAACCUGCCUCAUACAGGGGGAUAACAGUUGGAAACGACUGAUAAUACCGCAUAAGACCACAGCACCGCAUGGUGCGGGGGUAAAAACUCCGGUGGUAUGAGAUGGACCCGCGUUCGAUUAGCCAGUUGGCGGGGUAACGGCCCACCAAAGCGACGAUCGAUAGCCGAUCUGAGAGGAUGACCGGCCACAUUGGGACUGAGACACGGCCCAAACUCCUACGGGAGGCAGCAGUGGGGAAUAUUGCACAAUGGGGGAAACCCUGAUGCAGCGACGCCGCGUGAGUGAAGAAGUAUUUCGGUAUGUAAAGCUCUAUCAGCAGGGAAGAAAAUGACGGUACCUGAGUAAGAAGCCCCGGCUAACUACGUG